rnacentral:rRNA from 1 species
GUGGGGAAUCUUGCGCAAUGGGCGAAAGCCUGACGCAGCCAUGCCGCGUGAAUGAUGAAGGUCUUAGGAUUGUAAAAUUCUUUCACCGGGGACGAUAAUGACGGUACCCGGAGAAGAAGCUCCGGCUAACUUCGUGCCAGCAGCCGCGGUAAUACGAAGGGGGCUAGCGUUGCUCGGAAUUACUGGGCGUAAAGGGCGCGUAGGCGGACAGCUUAGUCAGAGGUGAAAGCCAAGGGCUCAACCUUGGAAUUGCCUUUGAUACUGGCUGUCUUGAGUUUGGGAGAGGUGAGUGGAACUCCGGGUGUAGAGGUGAAAUUCGUAGAUAUUCGGAAGAACACCAGUGGCGAAGGCGACUCACUGGCCCAAUACUGACGCUGAGGCGCGAAAGCGUGGGGAGCAAACAGGAUUAGAAACCCCGGUAGUCC